AAGCGCCGUAUACGAGAACCGUACGUACGGUGCUGUGGGAGGUCGGGAAAAUUAUUCGAUUUUCCCUCCUACCCGAU
rnacentral:ncRNA from 1 species